UACGUAGGGUGCGAGCGUUGUCCGGAAUUAUUGGGCGUAAAGAGCUUGUAGGCGGUUUGUCGCGUCUGCCGUGAAAAUUCGAGGCUCAACCUCGAACUUGCGGUGGGUACGGACAGACUAGAGUGUGGUAGGGGAGACUGGAAUUCCUGGUGUAGCGGUGAAAUGCGCAGAUAUCAGGAGGAACACCGAUGGCGAAGGCAGGUCUCUGGGCCACUACUGACGCUGAGAAGCGAAAGCAUGGGGAGCGAACAGG
rnacentral:rRNA from 1 species